rnacentral:rRNA from 1 species
UACGUAGGGGGCAAGCGUUAUCCGGAUUCAUUGGGCGUAAAGCGCGCGUAGGCGGCUUGUUAAGCGAGGAGUGAAAUCUGGGGGCUCAACCCGCAGACUGCUUCUCGAACUGGCAGGCUUGAGUCUGGUAGAGGAAAGUGGAAUUCCUGGUGUAGCGGUGAAAUGCGCAGAUAUCAGGAGGAACACCAGUGGCGAAGGCGGCUUUCUGGGCCACGACUGACGCUGAGGCGCGAAAGCUAGGGGAGCGAAC